ACAUUUCUCUAUGACUCCCUCCCUCGGUUCAGAAAAGGAUUUUCCUGGACAGAAGGCAGUAGGAAUGGAAAGUGUUCUGACCUUUGAACCACACAACCACACAACAUGAGGCUGGCCAAAGCCUUGCCUGACAAAUAAGAGUGAGACCUGACCCUGGACUCCUGGCUUGGAAGACCGUGCCUAGACCUUUUCUGCCAUUUUCUAUCAAGUUUUUGGACCCGGCCGUGAAGUGUGGCUUGCCGGCAUACCAGAAGCAAGAUGACAAGAAACCCCACUUUACUCACCAAUCUCUGCAUCACAUGUGUAAACCAGCCACCACGUGGGAAAAACCCAAUCUGGACCACCAGGAGAGAAACUGGGGCCCCCAGCCAAUAGCCAGCAUCCACUGUCAGAUAUGUGAGUGAAGAAUCCUGCAGAUGAUUCCAGGCCCCAGCUUUUGAGUCUUCCAGCUGCAGCCCCAGACCUCAUGGAACAGAGACAAGCCAUCGCCACUGUGCUGUAUCCAAAUUCCUAACCCACAGAACCCGUGAACAUAACAAAGGGCGUCUCAUGCUGCUCAGUCUUGGGGUAAUUUGUUAGGCAACAUUAGGUAACCAGAACAUACAGUAAUCUUCGGACAAGCAAGAAUGAGCGCAUAUCAACUGAAGCAGGAAGUGCCCUAGAGGAGUUAAGAACCAGAAUGGAAUGGCAUUAAAUAUGGAAAGCAUUACUAGCUCUCACCAUGUGGUUUCUAAGCCAGUUCUGCUGUGAAGUUGUUCCCUCAAAGGCCACCAACAACAUCAGAACUGACAAAAAAUAAAAACACCUCAACUUUUUCUCCAUACAUAUUCUUUUUUUUUUUUUUAAGAUUUUUAAAAUUUAUUUGACAGAGAGAGAG